CCUCAAAUGAAUUGACGGGGGCCCGCACAAGCGGUGGAGCAUGUGGUUUAAUUCGAUGCAACCGCGAAGAACCUUUACCUGGUCUUGACAUCCACGGAAGUUUUCAGAGAUGAGAAUGUGCCUUCGGGAACCGUGAGACAGGUGCUGCAUGGCUGUCGUCAGCUCGUGUUGUGAAAUGUUGGGUUAAGUCCCGCAACGAGCGCAACCCUUAUCCUUUGUUGCCAGCGGUCCGGCCGGGAACUCAAAGGAGACUGCCAGUGAUAAACUGGAGGAAGGUGGGGAUGACGUCAAGUCAUCAUGGCCCUUACGACCAGGGCUACACACGUGCUACAAUGGCGCAUACAAAGAGAAGCGACCUCCCGAGAGCAAGCGGACCUCAUAAAGUGCGUCGUAGUCCGGAUUGGAGUCUGCAACUNGNNNCCAUGAAGUCGGAAUCGCUAGUAAUCGUGGAUCAGAAUGCCACGGUGAAUACGUUCCCGGGCCUUGUACACACCGCCCGUCUACACCAUGGGAGU
rnacentral:rRNA from 1 species